UACGUAGGGUGCAAGCGUUGUCCGGAAUUAUUGGGCGUAAAGAGCUCGUAGGCGGUUUGUCGCGUCUGCUGUGAAAACCUGGGGCUUAACCCCCGGAUCUGCGGUGGGUACGGGCAGACUAGAGUGAUGUAGGGGAGACUGGAAUUCCUGGUGUAGCGGUGAAAUGCGCAGAUAUCAGGAGGAACACCGAUGGCGAAGGCGGGUCUCUGGGCAUUAACUGACGCUGAGGAGCGAAAGCAUGGGGAGCGAACAGG
rnacentral:rRNA from 1 species